rnacentral:rRNA from 1 species
UGGGGAAUAUUGCGCAAUGGGCGGAAGCCUGACGCAGCCACGCCGCGUGAGCGAUGAAGGUCUUCGGAUCGUAAAGCUCUGUGGGGAGAGAAGAAGAGGCCAGUUGAAGAGACUGGGAUGACGGUAUCUCCUUAGCAAGCACCGGCUAACUCUGUGCCAGCAGCCGCGGUAAUACAGAGGGUGCAAACGUUGCUCGGAAUUAUUGGGCGUAAAGCGCACGUAGGCGGUUUGUUAAGUUGGAUGUGAAAACCCUGGGCUCAACCCUGGAAGUGCAUCCAAGACUGACAAGCUAGAGUAUCGGAGGGGGUCGGAGAAUUCCCGGUGUAGAGGUGAAAUUCGUAGAUAUCGGGAGGAACAUCUGUGGCGAAGGCGCCGACCUGGACGAAAACUGACGCUGAGG